rnacentral:tRNA from 1 species
GCUUUCGUGGUGUAGUGGUUAGCACGCUUGGCACGCAUUCGAGAGGUCCGUGGUUCGAGUCCCAGCCAGGGCA